UACGGAAGGGGCUAGCGUUGUUCGGAAUUACUGGGCGUAAAGCGCACGCAGGUGGUUGGACAAGUGAGGCGUGAAAGUCCUGGGCUCAACCUGGGGACGGCGCAUCAGACUGUUCGGCUAGAGUCCGGAAGAGGGUGGUGGAAUUCCGAGUGUAGAGGUGAAAUUCGUAGAUAUUCGGAGGAACACCGGUGGCGAAGGCGGCCACCUGGUCCGGUACUGACACUCAAGUGCGAAAGCGUGGGGAGCAAACAGG
rnacentral:rRNA from 1 species